rnacentral:rRNA from 1 species
UACGUAGGGUGCGAGCGUUAAUCGGAAUUACUGGGCGUAAAGCGUGCGCAGGCGGUGCCAUAAGCUGGAGGUGAAAUCCCCGGGCUCAACCUGGGAAUGGCCUUCAGGACUGUGGCGCUGGAGUGCGGAAGAGGGGGGUGGAAUUCCAGGUGUAGCAGUGAAAUGCGUAGAGAUCUGGUGGAACACCAAUGGCGAAGGCAGCCCCCUGGGCCAGCACUGACGCUCAUGCACGAAAGCGUGGGGAGCAAACAGG